AGAACGAACGCUGGCGGCAUGCCUAACACAUGCAAGUCGAACGCGUGUAGCGAUACACGAGUGGCGGACGGGUGAGUAACGCGUGGGAACCUGCCCUGGAGUGUGGGAUAACCGAGGGAAACUUCGGCUAAUACCGCAUACGACCUGAGGGUGAAAGAUUUAUCGCUCUAGGAGGGGCCCGCGUCGGAUUAGCUAGUUGGUGGGGUAAAGGCCUACCAAGGCAGUGAUCCGUAGCUGGUCUGAGAGGAUGAUCAGCCACACUGGGACUGAGACACGGCCCAGACUCCUACGGGAGGCAGCAGUGGGGAAUAUUGGACAAUGGGGGCAACCCUGAUCCAGCAAUGCCGCGUGAGUGAUGAAGGCCUUAGGGUUGUAAAGCUCUUUCGCGCGCGACGAUGAUGACGGUAGCGCGAGAAGAAGCCCCGGCUAACUCGUGCCAGCAGCCGC
rnacentral:rRNA from 1 species